AUUGAACGCUGGCGGCAGGCCUAACACAUGCAAGUCGAGCGCGAAAGUCUUCGGAUGAGUAAAGCGGCGAACGGGUGAGUAAUGCAUGGGAAUCUGCCUGGUAGUGGGGGACAACGUCUCGAAAGGGACGCUAAUACCGCAUACGCCCUACGGGGGAAAGGGGGGGAUCUUCGGACCUCUCGCUAUCAGAUGAGCCCAUGCCGGAUUAGCUAGUUGGGGGGGUAAAGGCCCACCAAGGCGACGAUCCGUAGCUGGUCUGAGAGGAUGAUCAGCCAACCUGGAACUGAGACACGGUCCAGACUCCUACGGGAGGCAGCAGUGGGGAAUAUUGGACAAUGGGGGCAACCCUGAUCCAGCGAUGCCGCGUGUGUGAAGAAGGCCUUAGGGUUGUAAAGCACUUUCAGUGGGGAGAAAGGUGAUUCACCUAAUACGUGAGUCAAUUGAUGCUACCCACAGAAGAAGCACCGGCUAACUCCGUGCCAGCAGCCGCGGUAA
rnacentral:rRNA from 1 species